AGAUGAAGCCAAAAUGAAAUACACGCAGUCAGGCACUGUUCCUGGGUGUAUCCCCCACACCCUCAUGUCCCACAGACACGUCUUGGCAUCAAAAAACACAACACCACAAACAGCAUCCAAGGCGACUUUGGAGGCUGAGACCUUUUUUGUCUCGGGUACCCCGGGUACUCCGUAGGUUCUAAUGUGUUCUUGGACAACCCGACAGUGCUGCCAACACACCGAAAGUCGAAAUUUGAGCCCAGAAAAAAAGGUCUCAGGGCUCAAAGUCGGCCGAAAGCUUAUCUCCGUCGUUAUCUCGGUCGACUUUGGAGGCUGAGACCUUUUUUGUCUCGGGUGCCACGGGUACCCCGUCUGUUCGAAAGUGUUCUAGGGCAACCCGACAGUGCUGCCAACACACCGGAAGUCGAAAUUUGAGCCCAGAAAAAAAGGUCUCAGGGCUCAAAGUCGGCCGAAAGCUUAUCUCCGUCGUUAUCUCGGCCGACCUUGGAGGCUGAGACCUUUUUUGUCUCAGGUGCCAUGGGUACCCCGUCUAUUCGAAAGUGUUCUAGGGCAACC